rnacentral:rRNA from 1 species
UACGGAGGGUGCAAGCGUUAUCCGGAUUCACUGGGUUUAAAGGGUGCGUAGGUGGGUUGGUAAGUCCGUGGUGAAAUCUCCGAGCUUAACUCGGAAACUGCCGUGGAUACUAUCAAUCUUGAAUACUGUGGAGGUAAGCGGAAUAUGUCAUGUAGCGGUGAAAUGCUUAGAUAUGACAUAGAACACCGAUAGCGGAGGCAGCUUGCUACACAGUCAUUGACACUGAGGCACGAAAGCGUGGGGGAGCGAACAGG